rnacentral:rRNA from 1 species
GACAGAGGAUGCAAGCGUUAUCCGGAAUGAUUGGGCGUAAAGCGUCUGUAGGUGGCUUUUUAAGUCCGCCGUCAAAUCCCAGGGCUCAACCCUGGACAGGCGGUGGAAACUACCAAGCUGGAGUACGGUAGGGGCAGAGGGAAUUUCCAGUGGAGCGGUGAAAUGCGUAGAUCUUGGAAAGACCACCAAUGGCGAAGGCACUCUACUGGGCCAUUACUGACACUAAGAGACGAAAGCUAGGGGGAGCAAAUGGG